CAGCAGUAGCCGCGGUAAUACGGAGGGUGCAAGCGUUAAUCGGAAUUACUGGGCGUAAAGCGCACGCAGGCGGUCUGUCAAGUCGGAUGUGAAAUCCCCGGGCUCAACCUGGGAACUGCAUUCGAAACUGGCAGGCUAGAGUCUUGUAGAGGGGGGUAGAAUUCCAGGUGUAGCGGUGAAAUGCGUAGAGAUCUGGAGGAAUACCGGUGGCGAAGGCGGCCCCCUGGACAAAGACUGACGCUCAGGUGCGAAAGCGUGGGGAGCAAACAGGAUUAGAUACCCCUGUAGUCCCUGUCUCUUAUAC
rnacentral:rRNA from 1 species